CCAAUAGCGUAUAUUAAAGUUGUUGCAGUUAAAAAGCUCGUAGUUGAAUUUCGGGACCAAUCUGCCGGUCGUGCCUCCGGUACGCACUGGUUUUAUUGGUUUCUCCCUUCUGACGAACCAUGAUGUCAUUAAUUUGGUGUCAUGGGGCAUCAGGACUGUUACUUUGAAAAAAUUAGAGUGUUUAAAGCAGGCUCACGCUUGAAUACAUUAGCAUGGAAUAAUGAAAUAGGACGUUUGAUUCUAUUUUGUUGGUUUCUAGGAUCGACGUAAUGAUGAAUAGGGAUAGUUGGGGGCAUUAGUAUUCAAUUGUCAGAGGUGAAAGUCUUGGAUUAAUUGAGGACUAACGACUGCGAAAGCAUUUGCCAAGGAUGUUUUCAUUAAUCAAGAACGAAAGUUAGGGGAUCGAAGACGAUUUAUGUACGUCGUAGUCUUAACCAUAAACUAUGCCGACUAGGAAUCAGACAAAGUUCAUUUUUUAUUGACUUGUUUGGUACCUUACG
rnacentral:misc_RNA from 1 species